CCUCCUGGGAUAACACUGACGCUCAUGCACGAAAGCGUGGCGAGCAAACAGGAUUAGAUACCUUGGUAGUCCACGCCCUAAACGAUGUCAACUAGCUGUUGGGGCCUUCGGGCCUUGGUAGCGCAGCUAACGCGUGAAGUUGACCGCCUGGGGAGUACGGUCGCAAGAUUAAAACUCAAAGGAAUUGACGGGGACCCGCACAAGCGGUGGAUGAUGUGGAUUAAUUCGAUGCAACGCGAAAAACCUUACCUACCCUUGACAUGUCUGGAAUUACGAAGAGAUUUGGAAGUGCUCGCAAGAGAACCGGAACACAGGUGCUGCAUGGCUGUCGUCAGCUCGUGUCGUGAGAUGUUGGGUUAAGUCCCGCAACGAGCGCAACCCUUGUCAUUAGUUGCUACGAAAGGGCACUCUAAUGAGACUGCCGGUGACAAACCGGAGGAAGGUGGGGAUGACGUCAAGUCCUCAUGGCCCUUAUGGGUAGGGCUUCACACGUCAUACAAUGGUCGGGACAGAGGGUCGCCAACCCGCGAGGGGGAGCCAAUCCCAGAAACCCGAUCGUAGUCCGGAUCGCAGUCUGCAACUCGACUGCGUGAAGUCGGAAUCGCUAGUAAUCGCGGAUCAGCAUGUCGCGGUGAAUACGUUCCCGGGUCUUGUACACACCGCCCGUCACACCAUGGGAGUGGGUUUCACCAGAAGUAGUUAGCCUAACCGCAAGGAGGGCGAUACC
rnacentral:rRNA from 1 species